UACUAAACGGGAUUGUAAUGGAAAUCCUUUUUGUUGCCAAGCACAAAAAGAUUGGAAUGUAAAGCCCGACUAACG
rnacentral:sRNA from 1 species